AACUUUCAGCAAUGGAUCACUUGGCUCUCGCAUCGAUGCAGAACGCAGCGAAAUGCGAUAAGUAAUGUGAAUUGCAGAAUUCAGUGCAUCAUCGAAUCUUUGAACGCAGCUUGCGCCCCUUGGUUAUCCCGAAGGGCAUGCCUGUUCGAGUCUCGUGAACACCUCAACUCUCACGGCUUGCCGUGAUGAGCUUGGAUUUUGGGGGUCUUGCCGGCCUAUGGUCGGCUCCUCUCGAAUGAAUCGGCUUGCCGGUGUUUGGUGGCAUCACAGGUGUGAUAGCUAUCUAUGCUUGUGGUUUUCCACGAGGUAACCUGCAGCAAUGGAGGUUCGGUGGAGCUCGUAAAUGUCCCUCCUCAGCGAGGGCAGCUUUUGAACGUUUGGUCUCAAAUCAGGUAGGACUACCCGCUGAACUUAAGCAUAUCAGUAAGCGGAGGCU
rnacentral:misc_RNA from 1 species